rnacentral:rRNA from 1 species
GAUGAACGCUGGCGGCGUGCCUAAUACAUGCAAGUCGAGCGAACGGACGAGAAGCUUGCUUCUCUGAUGUUAGCGGCGGACGGGUGAGUAACACGUGGAUAACCUACCUAUAAGACUGGGAUAACUUCGGGAAACCGGAGCUAAUACCGGAUGAUAUUUUGAACCGCAUGGUUCAAAAGUGAAAGACGGUCUUGCUGUCACUUAUAGAUGGAUCCGCGCUGCAUUAGCUAGUUGGUAAGGUAACGGCUUACCAAGGCAACGAUGCAUAGCCGACCUGAGAGAGUGAUCGGCCACACUGGAACUGAGACACGGUCCAGACUCCUACGGGAGGCAGCAGUAGGGAAUCGUCCGCAAUGGGCGAAAGCCUGACGGAGCAACGCCGCGUGAGUGAUGAAGGUCUUCGGAUCGUAAAACUCUGUUAUUAGGGAAGAACAUAUGUGUAAGUAACUGUGCACAUCUUGACGGUACCUAAUCAGAAAGCCACGGCUAACUACGUG